GCGGAGGUGGCGCAGUUGGUUAGCGCGUAAGGUCUCAUAUACUCUGUAUGACUUGGGAUAUCCUAAGGUCGAGGUUUCGAAACCCUCUCACCGCA
rnacentral:tRNA from 1 species